rnacentral:lncRNA from 10 species
GAAUGCAUGGGGCAAAGGUGAUUAGCCUUCUGUUUCACCCAUGGGAGAGUACAUCAGCAACAGGGCUGAGGACAGGGGCAGCCAGAGCUGAUGUCAUUCUCACUGGGGGAGGAAGAGAGGUGACAGAGUGGAGGAGGUGAAUGGGGAAGGAACCAACACUCCAAGACUGUCUGGAGAGGAGAAAAAGGUCUCUGAGAACUUCCUAGAGCCUCGUGAGGUCAGAACGAUUGUUAUCCCAGUAUACAGAGAAGAAGAAGGCUCAGAGAGGUUCAGCAGGAAGCAGAGUAUGAAUAAAGAGCAGAAUGAUUCUGCCAGAAUACUGGAGGGCCAGAGAAAGCAAGCUUGAAACAGAGAGGAACGGGUCACUUUGGUGGAGGAAAUUGGGAGUCUUAUUCUGUUGCCCAGGCUGGAGUGAAGUGGCGCGAUCUCGGCCCACUGCAACCUUCACCUCCCGAGUUCGAGCGAUUCUUGUGCCUCAGCCCCCGGAGUAGCUGGGACAAAAAUCUUUAACUGUGAUUAAAAACACAUAUAAAAUUUACCAUGUUAAUGAAUUUUAAGUAUACAGUUCAGUAGUG